UACGUAGGGCGCAAGCGUUGUCCGGAAUUAUUGGGCGUAAAGAGCUCGUAGGCGGUUUGUCGCGUCUGCUGUGAAAACCCGAGGCUCAACCUCGGGCCUGCAGUGGGUACGGGCAGACUAGAGUGCGGUAGGGGAGAUUGGAAUUUACGGUGUAGCAGUGAAAUGCGUAGAUAUCGUAAGGAAGACCAGUGGCGAAGGCGAAUCUCUGGACAGUUACUGACACUGAGGCACGAAGGCCAGGGGAGCAAACGGG
rnacentral:rRNA from 1 species